rnacentral:tRNA from 1 species
AGGCAAUUAGUCCAAAGCAAGACAUUUGAUUUCGGCUCAAAAAAUCGUGGUUCGAGUCCACAAUUGCCUU